rnacentral:tRNA from 1 species
GGUUGUGGCUCAGUGGUAGAGAACUCGCCUAGCAUGUGUGAGGCCCUGGGUUCGAUCCUUAGCACCA